rnacentral:rRNA from 1 species
CCUACGGGUGGCAGCAGUGAGGAAUAUUGGUCAAUGGACGAGAGUCUGAACCAGCCACGUAGCGUGAAGGAUGACUGCCCUAUGGGUUGUAAACUUCUUUUAUAAAGGAAUAAAACGAGGCACGUGUGCCUUUUUGCAUGUACUUUAUGAAUAAGGAUCGGCUAACUCCGUGCCAGCAGCCGCGGUCAUACGUAGGAUGCGAGCGUUAUCCGGAUUUAUUGGGUUUAUGGGGUGCGUAGGCGGUCCGGAAAGUGAGCGGUAAACGCCCGGGGCUCACCCCCGGCGAGCCGUUGAAACUGUCGGACUAGAGACGGCGAGAAGUACGCGGAAUGCGCGGUGGAGCGGUGAAAUGCAUAGAUAUCGCGCAGAACUCCGAUUGCGAAGGCAGCGUACCGGCGCCGGACUGACGCUGAGGCACGAAAGCGUGGGUAUCGAACAGGAUUAGAUACCCCAGUAGUC